rnacentral:piRNA from 1 species
AAACGGUUGUGUCGUCAGCGAAUAAGGC